rnacentral:lncRNA from 1 species
CUGCGUUACGUGCGUUGUUCUUUGGGGGCGGUGCUACAGGAGGUGUAAUCUCAGAGUAUGCACGCAUGGACCAUGUUAAAUUGAAGAGAGUGUGAGAUGUAUCACAGCUACCAUGAACCUGAAGGAGAAAUAGUGUUUAUUUUAUGUUUAAACAGCAGAGCCACAGUCUGCCUGAAACGUAAAAUACGUGGCUAAAAGGGCGGUUCAGCCACAGCCUAGAGAGGAAAGAAGAGGCGUUGUACAGCUGUAGCGCUGAAACAGCUCUUGUGAUACAGGAGCUUGAGCAGCUUUGGGCAGGACUCGGGAGAGCAAAACGAGCUUCUCCUUGCUGGCUGUUGUAAGGAAAGAAACUCCUACUAAGAUGGAAAGAGAUGAUAAUGAAAAUCUCUCUUCUACCCUGCAAGCCUGAGUCUCAGCUGUGGAGAAACUAGUUCAAUGGCUCAAAAAAAAGACCUGCUACAACACUUGUGAUUGAGUACUGAAGAACAUGGAAGAACAGAUUUUGUCUUGUAACAAACUGAUUAAAAGCCUUCUAAAAAAGGAGCUGGAUGUUGAUGUUUGAAAUCCAGUCCUUGCUCUGGACAGAAGUUUAUCAUCACGCUGUAAAUACUUGAGAUCCAGGUUAGCUGCUUCUUCCAGACUGCUGCACACUGAUUUUUAUUCUUACAAAUCCAUGUAGUCAGCUAUCAUUGUUACUCACAUAAUGGGCCUUUGGGGAAAUAUAGCUAAGAAAUAGGCACAGAAGAAACAGAUGCAAAUUUGAGUCAGCAGACAGAUACUGCUGUAUUCUAGAACUUAACUUUGAAACCAACAUCCCAUUCUGCCAUUAAUAAAUAAAUUAAAAAAAUAAUGUAAAGUAACUGUUUUCAUUUAAAAGUUAUUGUAAUCUAGGGAUACGUGGAAUGCAGUUGAAUUCUAAAUGUCAUAGUUUAUCUGAUCUAUGGUAAAAUUUAUUUGGUAUUCUUAAGCAUAAUUUGGUUUUUGAACCUCUUUUGCCAUUGUUUGUGGUUAAUGCAAUGCAGAGGUAAAAGGACUCUGAAUUGAAAGGAUAGGCCUGAAUUUCAUUUUUGCUCUGAGUCACUGUGAGUGCAGCCUCUUUGUUAAAGUGUUUUUUGUAACCAUUUACUAGAUUAGUAGUGUUAGAUAUCUAGUCAAUGUGGAUUUCUUGAUGACUCAUUGGAUAAUAUCUGUACAGGACCAUCACAGUAUGCAAAAAAAGCUUGUGAGUGAAUUAAGUGUGCUUGGAAGGGGAACUUACUGCCAGAAAUGCUUCCAUGUAAUCAGUGAGGUCUUCCCUCCACCUCUGGUUGGCAAGGAAAGGAAAGCUGAACAGAGGUAGAUGCUAGAAGUCAGAAAAACUACUGUGAGUGGAAUUGCAUCCCUGCACUACAGCAGACUGGCUGACUAAAGUUUAAUGACCCAGUUUCCUGGAAACUGUCAACUGUAGGGUGCCAUGCAGUAAGGAAGCAUUCUUCCCUGAAACAUUACAAAAGAACGACCUUGUUACAAUAAACUUUCAUUUGGCUUCCCCGAUUUAGCCCUGUUACAAGGAAAUUUUAUUAUCAGGGCUGAUCUCAUGCAAGUGCCUAGAAUUCUGGAGUUUAUAAUGGAAAGCAAAUGCCACUGUAAUUUAUUUCAUUAUUAUUACUAUUAUGUUCUUCCACUUCAACAACAACAACAAAAUACUACUUUAUUGAACUGCAGUCAAGUCAGUCUUUAUGGCAGUCCAGGAAAAUCCAUCACUAGAGAAAGAAAUAUUUUCUAGAUGCACUUCAGUAAUAUUCUUUUCUUUUACUUUCACUAUAAUUUUACAACUUGGAGUUGAAGCCUCAUUUGAUAUGGAAUUAUAUUUAUAAAUGCUUUUACUAUACUUCCUAAGGGUCAGUCAGGAAUGUGAUGUUAGGCGUUCGGUGAAGAUGCAGCACUAAUAUAAAUGAAAAGUGCACCAGCUAUGUGGUCAGAAGAUGAAAAUGGAGUACUCAGCACAUCUUUGUCUAAUAAAUAAAAUGAAUGCCAC